rfam:Myotis davidii contig208540, whole genome shotgun sequence.
GGUUGUUCUCGAGUGACACACCUCAGAAUCGGGCUCCCUCCUUUCUGGUUCCAGUGUGCAUCACCCGAGAACCGCA